UUUUCUUUCCUCACGCCGAACCAUUUCCUUCCCUUCCGAUUUCCCCUGCGACGCCGAAGCCCUAACCGCCGGCCACUCAGCGGUUCCCUCCUCCUCUCCCAGGCGUGAAUAAGCCCCGGACCAAGGGAAGUCGGCACUUCCUUUCUCCCUCUCCGCAGCCGACUGACCUCCUUCGUGCCCUCGCCGUCGGUGACGCACGGAGCCGUGCCUUUCUCCCUUCUGCCCUAGCCGAAUUCCUUCCAUCGUCGGCAGCCGAGUUUCUCUCAUCAGCCGUCGAACUUGCGUGCCCUAGGUGCCACCGACGCCGACGCCCUCUCCGAUCUCCACUGUGCUGCCAGCGAGCUCCUCUCUGCCCUAGCGCCGGCCCACCGCCGAGCCUAGCAUCCUCUCCCGCCACCACAGCGACGCCACUGCUGCCGCUCGAUCUCUUCUCCCCUCUGCCGGUCGGUCUCUCCUUCUCCUCCUUCCCGAGCCGCACCAGGCGCCGCCACCACCUGAGGCUGAACGGAGCAGCGCCUGACCUAGGGUUUCCGGCAGUGGGCUGAUACAUGAUUUUUCCAGCCAUUGCUGGUUGCUACCAUCGCCAGAGAAGAAGGUCAGUGACAGUGGUGUGAAGUUGUUGGAUUCCGGCCACCACAACACUGAAUGCCUUGGUUGUUUCCUUGAUAUCCAACUUUGAUCCGAUCAGUGAAAGGACUUUGACGCGAGACGGGUAUCUCGGAGUCAGAUUUGGACUUUUCUUAUCGGAGG